rnacentral:sRNA from 1 species
GCUGAGUGUGGUGGUGCACACCUGUAAUCCCAGCAACUUGGGAUGCUGAUGCAGGAGAAUUGAAAAUUCAAGUCCAGCUGCGACAACUUAGCAAGGCCCUGAGCAACUUAGCAAGAUCCUGUCUCAA